rnacentral:tRNA from 1 species
ACUUAGAUAGUUUAAUAAAAACAUUGACUUGUGGCGUUAAAGAUACAUUUAAUGUUCUAGGUA